AUACGUAGGUGACAAGCGUUAUCCGGAUUUACUGGGUGUAAAGGGCGUGUAGGCGGUUUAGCAAGUCAGAAGUGAAAUUCCCGGGCUUAACUUGGGCGCUGCUUCUGAAACUGCUUUACUUGAGUGCUGGAGAGGAUAGUGGAAUUCCUAGUGUAGCGGUAAAAUGCGCAGAUAUUAGGAGGAACACCGGUGGCGAAGGCGGCUAUCUGGACAGUAACUGACGCUGAGGCGCGAAAGCGUGGGGAGCAAACAGGAUUAGAUCCCCUGGUAGUCCACGCCGUAAACGAUGAAUACUAGGUGUAGGGGGUAUCGACUCCCUCUGUGCCGCAGUUAACACAAUAAGUAUUCCGCCUGGGGAGUACGGCCGCAAGGUUGAAACUUAAAGGAAUUGACGG
rnacentral:rRNA from 1 species